rnacentral:rRNA from 1 species
UACGUAGGGUGCGAGCGUUGUCCGGAAUUACUGGGCGUAAAGAGCUCGUAGGUGGUUUGUCGCGUUGUUCGUGAAAUCUCACGGCUUAACUGUGAGCGUGCGGGCGAUACGGGCAGACUAGAGUACUGCAGGGGAGACUGGAAUUCCUGGUGUAGCGGUGAAAUGCGCAGAUAUCAGGAGGAACACCGGUGGCGAAGGCGGGUCUCUGGGCCGAUACUGACGCUGAGGAGCGAAAGCGUGGGGAGCAAACAGG